AUUGAACGCUGGCGGCAUGCCUUACACAUGCAAGUCGAACGGUAACAGGUCUUCGGACGCUGACGAGUGGCGAACGGGUGAGUAAUACAUCGGAACGUGCCCAGUCGUGGGGGAUAACUACUCGAAAGAGUAGCUAAUACCGCAUACGAUCUGAGGCAGAAAGCGGGGGACCUUCGGGCCUCGCCCGAGUUGAGCGGCCGAUGGUAGAGUAGGUAGGUGGUGGGAUAAAAGCUUACCAAGCCGACGAUCUGUAGCUGGUUUGAGAGGACGACCGGCCACACUGGGACUGAGACACGGCCCAGACUCCUACGGGAGGCAGCAGUGGGGAAUUUUGGACAAUGGGCGAAAGCCUGAUCCAGCAAUGCCGCGUGCAGGAUGAAGGCCUGCGGGUUGUAAACUGCUUUUGUACGGAACGAAAAAGCUCCUUCUAAUACAGGGGGCCCGUGACGGUACCGUAAGAAUAAGCACCGGCUAACUACGUGCCAGCCGCCGCAGUAAGAC
rnacentral:rRNA from 1 species